CCAAAGAGGAGGAGGUUUUGCAAUAUGCUAGAUUGGUUUUGGAUGAAUCCAAAUCAAAGGCUGCAGUGGUGAACAUUUAUGUUUGGAGAGGUGGUCCAAACUGGGGUUGCCAUAAUGUGUGAUCUAGGUUCAGAGCUUGGUCUUCCAAUUGAGCGGCGUGCAGACAUGCAGCCUACGCCAACGCUCGUCUCUUACCGGUGAGCCGAGCCACGGACAGAUAGGGGGCAGGCGGCGGUGGUGGUCGGAGGAGAAGUGAGACGGACGGCGCUGGAUCGGGGAGGCUGUGGAGGAGCUCAGCAGCAAUGACGAGCAGGUGGAAGGAGAGCAGCAGUAGUGGAGGUGCGUGAAGAAGACUAGAAGAAUGGGGAACCACCUCCGGAUUCAGCGCAAGUUGUCACUCUGAAUCUGCUCCCUCUCUUGGUUGGGAAGACUCCAGAAGGAUUCAUCCGUGUUGUGAUGGGUUGAGGAAGGCGGAGAGGACCUGCGAUUACAGUUUGUUGGGUUCAAACUUCAAACAUAGCAGUGCCAAUGUCGGCGCCUUGGCAAGUGAGUCUCGACGUGAGUGCUGGUGUCAAGGUGACUUCAACGAGCACAUCAGCAGUAGCUGCUGUAUGUGCGGCAAUGGAGGCCUCGAGACUCUGGUACAAAUGUGUUGGUUCAAGAGCCAUUGGAAAUGUCCACUUCAUAGGAGUUGGCUUGGAUCGUUAAAUUUAAAUUUAAAAAUAUUAUGUCCACUUCAUAGGAGUUGGCAAAAUUCAUGAUCCAUCCAUGAGAUUUGAUUUCCUUGGCAAAUUAUGAAGGUUUCUACAGUGAUAACAACUUGCUGUUUGCGUUCCUGUCGGAAGUUCAUCCAUGGCUCCUAGACAGAUGUAGGCCUUGGUUGGAGCAACUUUGCAUGCACAAAAAGCGUGGAACUCGCUCUUGGUGAGGGCACUGUAAUGAUAUGAAGGAGAGCCUUUUUAUUUCCAGCCUGAUCGACUACAUAAAUUCUGGUCCUACUCUGCCUCUCAAAUCUUUGUUGAAAAGGGGACCAUGUUGUGUUUUCUUGCUUAUGGCCUCUUCUCGACAUAUAAUCCUUGGUCUAUAUCACUAAUGUUUAGUACAUCUAUAACUUGGGUAGUUCCCGUACUUCUUAAUUUCAUAAUAUCAUGAACAGGGUGUCUUCGGUACAUUUUGAUAACCGAUAACUGACAAGUUCUCAAGGUCAAUGCUUUUGAUAGUGUUUAUUUUAUUCCUACAUAUCCUGGCCUCUGUUUCUUGUGUGGCCUGGAUUUAUUUUCUCAUUAUAUCCUUUCAAUUACACAAUAGUAAAUCUUCCAAUCUCAGAACUUCAAAUAUAGCUCUUGAAUGCAAUAAUAGGGAUUUGAAACGUUUCCAUUCUUGAAUAUUAAUCUUAAGCUUGUCUUAAUUUAAAUUUAAACUUUCAUAUGAUAUUUCAGGUCUAUGGGUCCAAGCCAUAGAUAUUGUAGUGUUUGUUGGAACUGGCUGCAAAAAUGUGUCCCCCAAUAUUGUAGGGGGCCUGCGAUAUGCUUGAGGGGGAACUUAAUCUGACACUUUAGAUCUGUUCAGUUAUAUGUGAUCGAGAUACUAAUCAAGAACACAAAUAUAUACAUCAACUGCUGACAACGCGCUGAAAUUAGAGAAAAGAGGAUAUCGUGGAUGGCUUGCAAAACGGCUGAACCAUGAUAUGAUUGGUGUUCAUAAGUACAUCGAUCAACAUCAACAAGAA